UCCCUGGAGGACUAGUGGUUAGGCCUUGGCGCUCUCACCGCCAUGGCCGGGUUCGAUUCCCGGCCAGGGAA
rnacentral:tRNA from 1 species